rnacentral:rRNA from 1 species
GACGAACGCUGGCGGCGUGCUUAACACAUGCAAGUCGAACGGAAAGGCCCCUUUUGGGGUCCUCGAGUGGCGCACGGGUGAGUAACACGUGAGUAACCUGCCCUUGACUUCGGGAUAACUUCAGGAAACUGGGGCUAAUACCGGCUAGGAAUCCUUGCUGCAUGGUGGGGGUUGGAAAGCUUCGGCGGUUUUGGAUGGACUCGCGGCUUAUCAGCUUGUUGGUGGGGUAGUGGCUUACCAAGGCUUUGACGGGUAGCCGGCCUGAGAGGGCGACCGGCCACAUUGGGACUGAGAUACGGCCCAGACUCCUACGGGAGGCAGCAGUGGGGAAUAUUGCACAAUGGGCGGAAGCCUGAUGCAGCAACGCCGCGUGCGGGAUGACGGCCUUAGGGUUGUAAACCGCUUUCAGCAGGGGCGAAGCUUGUGGUGACGGUACCUGCAGAAGAAGCACCGGCUAACUACGUG